GCACGGGUGCGUAACGCGUGGGAAUCUGCCCUUGGGUUCGGAAUAACAGUGAGAAAUUACUGCUAAUACCGGAUGAUGUCUUCGGACCAAAGAUUUAUCGCCCAAGGAUGAGCCCGCGUAGGAUUAGCUAGUUGGUGGGGUAAUGGCCUACCAAGGCGACGAUCCUUAGCUGGUCUGAGAGGAUGAUCACCCACACUGGGACUGAGACACGGCCCAGACUCCUACGGGAGGCAGCAGUGGGGAAUAUUGGACAAUGGGCGAAAGCCUGAUCCAGCAAUGCCGCGUGAGUGAUGAAGGCCUUAGGGUUGUAAAGCUCUUUUACCCGGGAUGAUAAUGACAGUACCGGGAGAAUAA
rnacentral:rRNA from 1 species